AUAAAGGCUUGGGGCAGUGCAGGUGGUGCCUGAGGUUAAUAACCCACAGCUGGUUUUUCUCCCCACAGGUGUAGUCCAUCCAGGGACCCAAGCAAAGACACCCUGAUCCCCAUAAAUGUUGGAGAGAGGAAAGAUCACCUCUGCUGAACAUAGCCCUGGUUCAGAAGGAUGGUUUGUGUAGCUAGGGGCCAGUGCAGCAUCAGGUGGUGAUGCUGUAGCAGAAGGGAAGGAGUUCAGCUCCCCUUCCCUCUCUCAGCAAGCCUGUACACAGGCACAUGUCUAUUUACUGCUUUGUUGCUAGCUGGAGUCAGUGACUGCAAAAACUUCAUCACAAGGGGGUAAGUGGAAGAUCACAGGCUGGUAGGGGACUCAAUCUCUUAUUCCUGUGGGAGCUUUUCAUCACAAUGUGCCUCGCUGCAGAGCUGAUGGAAGCAGCAUCCUUAAGGCCUAAGGAAUGCAAUCCUCCUGGGAUACAAUGGAAACAGUUGUUCUGCAUCCCUGGAACUUCCCGUGGUCACUCACAUCUUGUGGGAGACGAAGGCGUGUGCUGAGAAACGGGUGUCACACACUGAGCUUAUGCACAAAUUCCAAACAUCCAUCACUGGAGCUGUGGACAAAGCUGUCCAGCUACUGCAGUGAUGUUGUGGCAUUGCCAGAGACCCAUUCAUGUGCCAUGGCAGAGUCUGAGAGAAGUUUGAGGCAUUUUCCAUCUACUUGCUUCCCCUGUUUCUAAUUAGUUAUGGUAUUGGCAUAAACUGGGAUCUGUGUCUACUAAGCCUUCAUCUGCUCUUCCUUAUGAAGUCAUAAUCCUUCAUGGCAUCCCAACUGCUGCACUAUGGGAGUGAUUUAGGGUGUCCCAAAGCAGAGGAUAAUACCUCAGGUACUGAACAAACAUAGUAACUGUGGAGGAAAACAAGCCUUGUGUCACACGCUGCUGGUAAGAACACAUGUGUUGGCACAGGCAGACCAAGAGAGGAGUGGAGGAGAGGCUGAUGUAUCCACAGAAGAAUUUGAAGAACAAUCAUGAGAUUUUACACAUGGCAGAUGUCUAAGAUAUUUUGAAAGAUUCUUCUCAGAGCCUCUAAGCCACAGCAGGGCCCUGCCACAUAUUUUGUUCUUCACAUAAUGAUGCUGUGCCAUUUCUAUUGCAGUAUUGAUGCACUCCUGGGUGGUACCAGCAGGAUGAGAAGUGUGGUUAAUAGUUGGCUUCAAGGGCCAAACAGAAAUAUCAGCCUGCAGUUCAAUCCCUAGCCAAGAAUGAGGCACUCAAGCAAGGAAACAGAUUUCUUUCCUAAACAAGGGAUCAAAGUAUGAUGAAGCAGUGGACAAAUCUUAAUAUCUUCCAGCCAGAUGAAGCAACAAGAGACUGUCUGGUAGUAACAGCCCAUAGUAAUCACAGAGGCAGUAAUUGAGUCCCAAUAAAAGUUGUCACAAGGUAUCUUGCCCCACUUCCAGUAUGGAUAAAGAUCAAGGACACAAGUUGGGAAAAACUAGCUCUGACCUGUAAAGGCAGUGCUUGCUUGCCAGCUGCUUCCAGAGCCUGGCUGCUGUGGACAUUCUGCAAUCAUCUUCCUUUGAUUGUUGUAUGGGAUCUGGACCUCUGAGAACAGCCCCAACUUGUGCAACCCUCAGCUAAGCUUGCCUUGAAAACCCUGCCAGGCAGAGACCACCCCUGCUGCUGGUGCCCUUCAUCUGCAGAAUGAGGACUGGACACUGAGCUAUUAAAUAAAUAUGUUUAUUAAUUAUAUAUUUAAAUGUUUUUUAGUUAUUAACAGAACUACUCAGCUUGGCAGUUUUUUUCAACAGGCAUCCUGCAUUUACUCCAUGUGGGUUUUUCCUUAUCUGAGCCCACAGGAGAGGUCAGGGUUGUUUUGGGGCAGGGUGAGUUACCUUUUUUUUUUGCCAUGUAAGUCACUGGAAGUCAAGACAACAACCAUCAGUAUGAAAAUACAAACUUUACUCUGGAAAUACUCUGGAGCCCACUACUUUCAUUAAGCAGGCUUGUGGCUCAUUUUCCCACUUAGAGGCAAGAGCUUACAGUAAAAUAAAGCAUCUACGUUUUUUCAGCGGCACAUGGAGUCCCUAGCCCUUUCUAGACACUUAUCCAAAGUGAAAAAAUAGUCUUGAUUAAAGCAUCCCUAUCUGAAAGGGAUUAAACUCCUCCAAUAUUUCUAAUUUUGUUUUCUAUUAUUCUCUGAGCAGAGGCAGGUGACUCCAAUUUUAUCUGCAGCAGGAUUCCAGUCUUCCUUGCUCCACUUGCAUCUUUUCAUCUAACCCAUUCCUCUGGGGCUGCAGGAACGUCAUGCUUCCCUCUCAGCCUACAGGUGAGAGCAAGGAGCAGAAGUUGCACCAUGUAAUUAUGGUUAUUAUGCCAGCUCAUAGAGCUCCUCACAGCAUAAACACUGCUAGCACUUGUCACUGCUGGGAACAGCUCUGCUCUUGCUGUUGGAGGCUUGGCACAGAUCUGAGUCCAAGUCCAGAUCUGAAGAGCAAAGCCCAAAACCUGCCCGCUCACACAUGGGGCCAAACCUUUCCCUGGGCUUGGGGAAACCUCUGGGUUUUGGAUUUCAAGCAUGAUUAGUGUAAUGUUGUGCUGAAAUGUGUGAUUCAGGCAGACAGUGUUCAGAGUUCAGGUCUACCACCUUUUUUCCUGCACUUGGAGUCAGUCCACUGCCAAAUCUUUAAAACAAUUGAGUGCAAUCUCCAGGUUUGAGUACUACAGGUUUACAUUCAAACCCUCACUCCUAUCAUGUAUUUUGCCCAUCCAAGUGGCAGGCAAUAUUCUAGUGCUGUCUCUUUCUCUCUCCCUUCUUUCUUGACAAGAAACUGCUGUUGUGCUAUUUUGAUAUGCUGCUUUUAGAAAGAUGAGAUAAAUACACACACAUUUAUACAACAGUUUUAUGAGAAGCCCUUCAGUAUGGGAUAAAAAAAGAAUCUGAGGUGGCAAAGUUGUGACAGAACUUGGAUAUAGUUAAUUGGAUCUACUUAUUUGCACCAUUUUUUAUUAACUGCUUGUGUCAGUCCUGGGCUGAGAAAGCAAUUUAACUCAUUGCCUGUGAAAAAUGAAAUGACAGCAGCUACUCGGGUGAACUUUCACAUUAAGGAAGCAUGAUCUGGUCUUGAUCAAAGACCUUAUGUUCCUGGAGGACCAGAGUUCAAGCACCAGCCUCUAAUUUCAAGAGAAGAAAAAGUUUCUGUGUCAUUGCAAGGUAAAUUUCAGAGUUUGAGGCCAAGGUAAAUUUUCAUGUCAGCACUGUUAGUGACCCUAAACUGAAGCUUGACUUGAUCAUCUCUUCCUUUAAUUCUCACUGUCAUAUUCUGCCUCCUGCUAGGCUGAAUUCCGUUUCAGCAGAGAGAAGUGAUGUUAUCAGCAGUCGUUGCUCCCAGGCACUCGUGGAUCACGUCAUGCAUCUUGCAGGUUGCACCAACAAAACAAGCUCUGAGGAGCAGGGUUGGCAUCCAAGAGAGACAAGACACCACCUCUGGGUGGCAACAAGCCAUAAAAUUGUCCUUGCAGGUCUUGUGUAACCAGAACAACUAAUAAACCUCUGGAAUGCUGAUGCUGUGGUUGAUCUGGUUACACCAGAGAAGCCAUCUCUCGCAAGUGGGAUGGCAGGAGCCAAAUCACGAGCAGAUAAUACCAAAGGCCACUGCUAGAGAUGUAUUAAUGUGAUUGUUACUGUGCUGAAUAAUGACUGUGGCUCUGUCACACCUGCUGAAAACUUUUUUUAAGCAUUUGGCAUCAUGAUACUAUUGAUUGGCACCUCAGUGUACCCAUGUUGACAAUAGAAGGGACUGUAGCCAUGGCAGCAGUCAUUUUGCAAACCUCAACACCACUGGUGUUGGUUGUAAAGCCAUCAUGAAAGUUAUUAGAAGAAGACAAAUGUUGUUACAGAUGGAUCUGUAGCCCUGCAAAUCGAAGUGAAUGAAAAAUGUCAGAUGUAAAGGUGGUCAAAAAGAGCAAAGGCCCAUCCUUUUCUAUUUUGCUGCCUCCAACCUUCAGCCUGCCCAAGGAGAAGUCAAACGCAUCCUUCCCAAAGCCUGCCAGCAUUGCCAUUGCUGUCCUUGCAGUGUGACACCUCUGGGGUGCUCUGCAGAUCACCAGGGCUCCUCCUCAGUGCUGGCUCUUGCUCUGAAAGCCAAGACAUGUGUGAAAGGCAGCUGUGGAUCCCGGGUGGUUAGAAGUUAAUUGUGAGGUCUAGCUUGCAAAUCAAACCAGAGAGAGAUGCUUUUGCAGGAACCAGGAGACAGAAACUCAGCUCUUGUUGAAGAUGAAGGGUGCCCGGGGCUCGUGCGAGUUCCUGGCUGUGCCCCAGGAGUGUGGGGUCACCCAAGGUGAAUCAUCUGGGGCUGCUUCCCCAGCUGUAAAGCAGGAUAAUACUUCUGUUCUCACCUCAGUUUGUCUUCUCUGUUUAGAUUUCAAGCUCCUCAGGGCUGUGUCUGAUACAUGUAUGUACAGUUCCUAGCUUAAUAGAGUCAUGAUCCAAACUGAAGCCUCCAGGCACUCCUGCAUAUUAUAUCAUUGCUAAUUUCACAAGAGGUUGCAAUCAAAUUCCUGUAUAGGGGAAAAAAAAACCCUGAAAAA